AUUGAACGCUAGCGGGAUGCUUAACACAUGCAAGUCGAACGAGUGGCGGGCGGGAGAGUAAUAUAUCAGAACGUGCCCAGUAGCGGGGGAUAACUACGCGACAGAGUGGCUAAUACCGCAUACUAUGGGAUCGGCCGAUAUGGGAUUAGCUAGUUGGUGGGGUAAAGGCUCACCAAGGCAACGAUCCGUAGCUGGUUUGAGAGGACGACCAGCCACACUGGAACUGAGACACGGCCCAGACUCCUACGGGAGGCAGCAGUGGGGAAUUUUGGACAAUGGGGGAAACCCGGAUGCAGCCAUCCCGCGUGUAUGAGAAGGCCUUCGGGUUGUAAAGUACUUUCGGCAGGGAAGCGGUAUCUGCAGAAUAAGCACCGGCUAACUACGUGCCAGCAGCCGCGGUAAUUC
rnacentral:rRNA from 1 species